rnacentral:rRNA from 1 species
UACAGAGGUCCCAAGCGUUGUUCGGAUUUACUGGGCGUAAAGGGUGCGUAGGUGGCGGGGUAAGUCUGGUGUGAAAGCUCCGAGCUCAACUCGGAAAAGCAUUGGAAACUAUCCCGCUUGAGGGUCGGAGGGGAGACUGGAAUUCUCGGUGUAGCAGUGAAAUGCGUAGAUAUCAGGAGGAACACCGGUGGCGAAGGCGGGUCUCUGGGCUGACACUGACGCUCAUGCACGAAAGCGUGGGGAGCAAACAGG